rnacentral:misc_RNA from 1 species
AAGUCGUAACAAGGUUUCCGUAGGUGAACCUGCGGAAGGAUCAUUAAAAAAAGUAUAUCAUAUUAUGUAUGAUUCUUUCUUGUGUGCUCUUCAUUGGCUAUUAAAUAUAUUGAGGGAUUAAACAUGGCUUUCAUCUAAUGGAAGACGGCCCUCAAACCACUUAAAAUACUCUUUUAAAACUUGACUGACCAUAUACAAUUAUCAAAUGAUAAUACAUAUAAA